CAUUUUAACGAAUGCGAAUUGACCUUUCGUUGAAUCCGGAAUCACAUUCCCUCACAAAAUUGGGAUGAAGAAUUCGAGAGACGCUAAGAGAGCGGGAUUCAAGAUCGGAAACCCAGGCGAAACCUCCCAAGCUCACAUCUGAUUUCUCCCAAUCGGAGCAGUACUUCGCUCCUUGGAGGGUUUUGGUGAGAUCCGGAGCCUGGAGCAAUGACGUGCACGGAGGAGGAGGAGGAGGAGUUGGAGGACCCUCUGUCGUCGUCGGACUCUUUCGCCUAAUCGAUCCAAUGCAGGCAGCAAAGGAUGGGCCCAAAAGUAAAACAUAUUGAAGAAACCCAAAAGAUGGAUAAAGAAUCUAGGGACAUGUUGAGCCUGUUGAAACAAGUGGUGAAUCAAAGACAAACUGAAGCUUCAAGAAGUUGGUUUCAUUAAAAGAAGCAGAAAGAAGCCGAUUCAGGCCUCCAUUGGCUGUCUCCGAAGCUUCACAAUUAAGUCCAUUGUUAUUGUGCCAUCACUAAGUUACUUCCAGUCUUCUAUUCGCCAGAGUUCAUUCCAAGGACUUAGUUACCAUUGGCUUCUCCAAUCUUUAUAGUUUUUGACUCCAGUGUAAUCUUUUACAGGUUGCGUGAUUCGAGCCAGGAAAAGCGGAGAUGAUGAAGCUUUUGAGCCAACUUGGGACUGGAUCUCUCUUCUUUCGACCUGAAUUAUUCGGUGCCAGUAAUUGCAGUAAAGUAUGAAGGAAAGCAGCCGUGCCAGAAUAUUAGUCCCCCCUGCAAAACGACAGAAGCUAGAGAAGAAAAAGACGGAGGAGGAGGCUCGGCGUGCAGACGGGGACAGGCCCACUCCCUGUCGUAACAGUGGUAGUCGGCUACACAUCUUCUUCUCACAGAUGUACAUCGUCAUCAUCAGGUAUGCAUCUCCAUCACCGUCUUCGUCGCUGUUACUCAUAAAAAUAGUUAAUCGAUCAAGUCAUUGACCACCCCUUGAUUGGUACGCCAUCAUCCCUUCGACAUACCAAAACAAAAUUUCGCAGCUCCAUUUCAAUCAUCCCCCAAUAAUAAUGUCACCUAUACGGAUCCCAUUCCUAUAAACAUUUGCUGUACCGGUCCUUACUCAACCCCCACUACCACAACUUUUCCCUUCCUGGAUCAUUAUUUUAUCGUUCUGUGUCAUCCAAAAACUUUAGUCAUCAUCAUCAUUCACUGCUUUAACUCUGACCAAACAUACUGAUAGCAAUAUAAGAUGAUACAUCCAUCAAUCGCUUUACCUACACCGCCAGCAAAAGACGACAAGCUACCGAUUGACAUCAAACACAGAGAGGAUAGGCUAUGAUAUUAGGAAAGAGAAAAAGUUGGCAAGUUGAUACAAAUAGAGAAGAGGAAAGUAGGAAAAGCUGAAGAGAGAGAGAGAGAGAGAUACUUUGUGGCGACACACUAUCGUCCCAAAGUCCAAAGACCAAGAUACGGAUGUCAAAGUCCAACUCAGGUCCUCCCAUUUCCACAACCGACAAUUCUUUUUUUUUUUUUUUUUGCUUGCUUGCUUGACGUCUCGUCGUCGUCGUUAGCAAAGUCGAUCCUCUUUUGCUCCUCUUCUUUUCUUCGUUCCAUUCCUUUCCUCUACCACGGGAUCAGGCUUUGGAGACGGUGACGGCCUCCUUGGCGGCUUCGGCGGCGCCAUUGGCGAUGGCGGACUGCGCCGUAAGAGCGGACACGCCGGGGGAGGCAGGUGCGUCGCCGGAGGGAUUGGGAGGGUGAGGACCGCCCGGGAGGAUGCCGUGGCCGAGGUGACAGGCGCCGGCGGAAGAGAGGGAGGAGGAAAGGGGCCGAGGAGGGCAGGCGGUGGCGGUGGAGAUGGCGGACGCGAGGGAGAUGGGCAUGAGGCAGAGGCCCUUCCCCUGGAGGUAC